GCCCCAGUAGCUCAAAGGAUAGAGCAACGGCCUUCUAAGCCGUAGGUUACGGGUUCGAGUCCUGUCUGGGGUACCA
rnacentral:tRNA from 1 species